AGUGAACGCUGGCGGUAGGCCUAACACAUGCAAGUCGAACGGCAGCACAGGAGAGCUUGCUCUCUGGGUGGCGAGUGGCGGACGGGUGAGGAAUACAUCGGAAUCUACUCUGCCGUGGGGGAUAACGUAGGGAAACUUACGCUAAUACCGCAUACGACCUACGGGUGAAAGCAGGGGAUCUUCGGACCUUGCGCGAUUGAAUGAGCCGAUGUCGGAUUAGCUAGUUGGCGGGGUAAAGGCCCACCAAGGCGACGAUCCGUAGCUGGUCUGAGAGGAUGAUCAGCCACACUGGAACUGAGACACGGUCCAGACUCCUACGGGAGGCAGCAGUGGGGAAUAUUGGACAAUGGGCGCAAGCCUGAUCCAGCCAUACCGCGUGGGUGAAGAAGGCCUUCGGGUUGUAAAGCCCUUUUGUUGGGAAAGAAAUCCAGCUGGCUAAUACCCGGUUGGGAUGACGGUACCCAAAGAAUAAGCACCGGCUAACUUCGUGCCAGCAGCCGCCGUAA
rnacentral:rRNA from 1 species